rnacentral:rRNA from 1 species
UACGAAGGGGGCUAGCGUUGUUCGGAAUCACUGGGCGUAAAGGGUGCGUAGGCGGCGCGGUAAGUCGGGUGUGAAAUCUCGGAGCUUAACUCCGAAACUGCAUUCGAUACUGCUGUGCUUGAGGACUGGAGAGGAGACUGGAAUUUACGGUGUAGCGGUGAAAUGCGUAGAUAUCGUAAGGAAGACCAGUGGCGAAGGCGGGUCUCUGGACAGUUCCUGACGCUGAGGCACGAAGGCCAGGGGAGCAAACGGGG